AAAAAAAAAAAAAAAAAAAAAAAAAAGUUCGUUUUACCAAAGUGCAAAAAACUAAAAGGACUAAAUAUUAUUUCUAUUUCGAUACACUUCACAUAUUUUUUAUAUUCUUUUGUUCUUAUGUUUUCUGUUAUUCUAGAAUUAAGGCAGCCAGGGAGUGAAGGUCUACAAGAAGCCAUUGCAGAAUA
rnacentral:ribozyme from 13 species